GGGGAAUAUUGCACAAUGGGCGAAAGCCUGAUGCAGCGACGCCGCGUGAGGGAUGACGGCCUUCGGGUUGUAAACCUCUUUCAGCAGGGAAGAAGCCACAAGUGACGGUACCUGCAGAAGAAGCGCCGGCUAACUACGUGCCAGCAGCCGCGGUAAUACGUAGGGCGCAAGCGUUGUCCGGAAUUAUUGGGCGUAAAGAGCUCGUAGGCGGUUUGUCGCGUCUGCUGUGAAAGCCCGGGGCUUAACCCCGGGUGUGCAGUGGGUACGGGCAGACUAGAGUGCAGUAGGGGAGACUGGAAUUCCUGGUGUAGCGGUGGAAUGCGCAGAUAUCAGGAGGAACACCGAUGGCGAAGGCAGGUCUCUGGGCUGUUACUGACGCUGAGGAGCGAAAGCAUGGGGAGCGAACAGGAUUAGAUACCCUGGUAGUCCAUGCCGUAAACGUUGGGCACUAGGUGUGGGGGACAUUCCACGUUUUCCGCGCCG
rnacentral:rRNA from 1 species